rnacentral:rRNA from 1 species
CCUACGGGUGGCAGCAGUGGGGAAUAUUGGGCAAUGGGCGCAAGCCUGACCCAGCAACGCCGCGUGAAGGAAGAAGGCUUUCGGGUUGUAAACUUCUUUUGUCAGGGAAGAGUAGAAGACUGUACCUGACGUAUAAGCCACGGCUAACUACGUGCCAGCAGACGCGGUAAGACGUAGGUGGCAAGCGUUGUCCGGAUUUACUGGGUGUAAAGGGCGUGUAGCCGGGUUGACAAGUCAGAAGUGAAAUCCUGCGGCUUAACCGCAGCACUGCAUUUGAAACUGUUGAUCUUGAGUACUGGAGAGGCAGAUGGAAUGCCUGGUGUAGCGGUGAAAUGCGUAGAUAUUAGGAGGAACACCAGUGGCGAAGGCGGUCUGCUGGACAGCAACUGACGGUGAGGCGCGAAAGCGUGGGGAGCAAACAGGAUUAGAUACCCGUGUAGUC